CCUACGGGUGGCAGCAGUAGGGAAUCUUCCACAAUGGGCGAAAGCCUGAUGGAGCAACGCCGCGUGGGUGAAGAAGGUCUUCGGAUCGUAAAACCCUGUUGUUAGAGAAGAAAGUGCGUGAGAGUAACUGUUCACGUUUCGACGGUACCUAACCAGAAAGCCACGGCUAACUACGUGCCAGCAGCCGCGGUAAUACGUAGGUGGCAAGCGUUAUCCGGAUUGAUUGGGCGUAAAGGGCACGUAGGCGGUCGUUUAAGUCUGAUGUGAAAGCCUUCGGCUUAACCGGGGUAGUGCAUUGGAAACUGGGAGACUUGAGUGCAGGAGAGGGAAGUGGAACUCCAGGUGUAGCGGUGAAAUGCGUAGAUAUAUGGAAGAACACGAGUGGCGAAGGCGGCUCUCUGGUCUGUAACUGACGCUGAGGUUCGAAGGCGUGGGUAGCAAACAGGAUUAGAUACCCCAGUAGUC
rnacentral:rRNA from 1 species